rnacentral:rRNA from 1 species
UACAGAGGGGGCAAGCGUUAUUCGGAAUUAUUGGGCGUAAAGGGCGCGUAGGCGGGCAUCAUAGUCUGUGGUGAAAUCCGGCAGCUUAACUGUCGAAUUGCCAUGGAUACUGGGUGUCUCGAGGGAGGCAGGGGUGCGCGGAACUGAUGGUGGAGCGGUGAAAUGCGUUGAUAUCAUCAGGAACUCCGGUGGCGAAGGCGGCGCACUGGUCCUUUUCUGACGCUGAGGCGCGAAAGCCAGGGGAGCAAACGGG